AUUGAACGCUGGCGGCAUGCCUUACACAUGCAAGUCGAACGGCAGCACGGGAGCAAUCCUGGUGGCGAGUGGCGAACGGGUGAGUAAUGUAUCGGAACGUACCUUUUCAGUGGGGGAUAACGUAGCGAAAGUUACGCUAAUACCGCAUAUUCUGUGAGCAGGAAAGCAGGGGAUCGCAAGACCUUGCGCUGAUUGAGCGGCCGAUAUCAGAUUAGCUAGUUGGUGAGGUAAAGGCUCACCAAGGCGACGAUCUGUAGCGGGUCUGAGAGGAUGAUCCGCCACACUGGAACUGAGACACGGUCCAGACUCCUACGGGAGGCAGCAGUGGGGAAUUUUGGACAAUGGGCGCAAGCCUGAUCCAGCCAUGCCGCGUGAGUG
rnacentral:rRNA from 1 species